UUUUUAGUAGAGAUGGGGUUUCACCCUGUUAGCCAGGAUGGUCUCGAUCUCCUGACCUCAUGAUCUGCCUGCCUCCGCCUCCCAAAGUGCUGGGAUUAUAGGCAUGAGCCACCGCGCCAGGCCGGACUUCUGCCUCUUAAAUCCAGGGUUCUCCUGUCACUACAGUGAGGUAUUGACUAACAUAAGCUAUGAGAUAUCACUGCCUGGGUACAUAUCCCAGCUCUUCCACUUAUCUUUGUGGCUUUACACAAAUUAACCUCUUUAUGAUUGUUUCUUCAUUUGUAAAAGGAAGAUAAUAACAGUGCCUAUAUAUAGGGUUUUAUGAAGAGUAAAUGAGAUAGUAAUAGUAUAUAUAAAGCACUUAGAACAGUAUCUGGCACAUACUAGGUGCUCAAUAAAUGUUAGCUAUGACAUUUAUUACUGUCCCACAUUGAGCUGGUGUUUGUUAAACACUAGAUGACUGGAUAAAAUGUACAUCUUUCAUGCAGAGAUUGCUGGAUUAUCCAUUUCACUGAUUCAGGACCAGAGUCUCUGAGGAAUCCAGAGAGGGGAUGUUAAAGCCCUAAGAAGUAAAAACACUAAAAUGAUAACAUUUUGACCUUUUGAAGACUCUUUGAGGUGGCAAUGGCCACAAAAUUGAGUGGAAACAAAAUAUUUUUGCCCCAUUUCCAGAUAAAUUGGAUUUGCUAAACCGCCCAGAAUAACAAGAGCAAGAAUUAGAUGUUCAGCUAAGCUCUAGCUUCUGAUCCUAGAUGGCAAUAACAACAAUAGUAUUAAUGAUAAUUGCAGAAACUCUUGAUAUAUGUGAGGCUUCUUCUAAAUGCUUUAUAUACAUUAACAAUUUAAUGUUCAUCGGAGCAGAUUCUCCUACUGUAUCCAAGACAGCAGAAAUUCAGAGCAAAAAGGAGAUUGCUGCCUGAUAGCAGAGCCACUCUAGGAAUGGGGAGAUUUUCUCAUAAAUCCAAUGACUGGUAAAAGUGACAAGAGGUUAGUCCACUUAGUGUUGGAAAGGACAAGAUCCUAGAAAGUGGAAAUGCUCCACUAUUGCUUUAGGGGCAACAGCCUGGCUGCAACUGGGAAGACUUUCUAUUUCUAAUGUCAGGAUAAUAGGGAAGCUCCUGCCAAUGCUGCAUAGAACUAAGGACACUUAGCAGUGAUGGCUGACUUCCAACUGAGCCAUUAAGGUAAAUGUAGAAGAAAGCUCCAGGUAGAAAUAUCUUUGGGAACUCGGAGAACACACUGAGUGUCUGAAGCUGGUACUUAAUCUAUUAUUGAACUCAGAGUUUGCCAUUCUGGGGCCAAUUUGAGUCCACUUAUGACACCUCCCGCAACACUGCUCAUUUCUGUUAACUGGACUUCACAGAGGGUGAGAAGGGCAGCAAUCAGAUCAUAUAAUUGGGCCUCAUUGUAAUAAAAUGUUGAUUUCUCUUGUCCUUGGACUUCCUUCCAGCCACAAUCACUCUAUGAUCUUGUCUGGGAUUCUUUUUCCUUUCUCUCUCCAUUUUGCUGACUGUAAUGGAAUAAUAGCAGAAGCUCUCAAUCUGUAUGAGGCAAAUAUAUGAAGAAUGUGUAACAUUGACUGUGUUUCCUAAUAGACAAAUUAUCUAAAGGACAUCUCUUAAGAAGAGAUGAGAUGGAGCCAACUGUGAGAAAAAAAAAAUGGGUGAAGAAAGUUUCAAGGAGAAGACUCCAUAGAGCAGAAUGGGAAAGAUGGCCAGGAGAAAAGUGAGAUAAUAAAAGGAAAAGCAGUUCCUGACACAGAAGGUACUCAACAGCUAUUUGCUGACUGAAAGAACAAACACUAAUAAGAGAAUGAAAUACCAGGAUUAUAAAGAGGGAACAAAUAUAUUUUCCCGUCUACCUUGUUGUUACCCCACCCAGGAUAUAUUUAGAUUGGUGCAAAAGUAAUUGUGGUUUUUGAAUAGUUAAUAGAUUAACAUCUAAUUUAUGUAUUGUUUACAUACAUAUACAAACUACAACCAUGUAUGAUACAUUUAAAGUAAUACGCUAGGCACAGUGGUGCAUACCUAUAGUCCCAGCUAUUCAGGAGGCUAAGGUGGGAAGAAUGCUUGAGCAUAGGAACUCAAGUCAGCUUGGGCAACAUAGCAAGACCCUGUCUCUAAACAAAGAAAACAAAAAAAGUGAAGUAAUUAAUGCCAAACAUUGCAAUCAGGGUUUGGUGUACUUGAAAUACACAAAUGAGUAUUUUUACAUGCUGAAGACACAGCAACCAACAACUAGGGCUAAAGUACUGCAUUCCUAAAGUUAACCCACAGAGCCUAUCAUGCCAUACCAAAGUUCAUUUCUCCGGCUCCAAACCUGGAACUUUCCUUUCCUAUUUCCUCUCCCUAACAGCUUAGAGCUACUGGACUCCAUCCUUGGACUCCUCUGUUCACUGCAAAUGUUCUUUAUAAGCUAUGAAAUCCGGAUUUGAGGUCUGGUUUCUUACUUCAACUUUGAAACUCAUUUCCCACCCCAAGUUAACACAAUUUCAAAAUAUUCAUGAAUUUUAUGGCUAGACCUAAAGCUUCUUUGUGCCUCCCUGCCAGCCUGCCUUUGUUUUAGUACCUUCUAGCCUGUCCUCACUUGAGUUUUUACUCUAAUUUUCCGUCCAGUCAUCCCAUCACUAGUCCCCUAUCAAACUGCUUGCUGGACAUUUCUGUAUACAUACCUUGCUUGUCCUUACGUCAAAUUCAAAACCACCAAGACCAAAUCCAAUUAAGGAAGGAGACCACUACUACUCCUGCUGCCCUCCUCCCCACACCUUGCCUAGUUCACAAGACAGGAGGAAAGAGAGAAAGAAACAAAAGUAAGAUAAAUAGCCAGACAACCUUGGCACCACCACCCAGUCCUAGGAGUUAAAAAAAGUAAUAAUAAUAACAUCAACCCCAGACCUAAACUACUUGUGUUAUCUGUAAAUCCGACACUGUAUGAAAAAAAAAAGCAUUGUAAAACUUUUUGUUCUGUUAGCUGAUGGAUGUAGGCCCGUCACGUUUCUUCCCACGCUUGCUCAAUUUAUCACGACCCUUUCACGUGGACCCCUUAAAGUUGUAAGCCUUUAAAAAGGCCAAGUAUUUCUUUUUCGGGGAGCUCAGCUCUUAAGACGCGAGUCUGCCAACGCUCCUGGCCGAAUAAAAAACCUCUUCCUUCUUUAAUCCGGUGUCUGAGGAGUUUUGUCUGCGGUUCAUCCUGCUACACAAUGUGUGUUCCCAAAUCAACUCUCCUUCCUCACCUCCCUGGUAUGGUUACUGACCAAUUAGAAUUAAUGUUCAACCACUCAGAAUGCCAUAGGAGGUAGGCCAAAUCAGUGUACUGAGUCCAAUGUCAGCCCUAUCCAUAAUCCUUCCACCCAGCUAAACUUGGAGGAAUUGUCUGUUCUCAUAGUCUCCCUUCAUCAUUGAUUUAUUCCUUCCAUAAUCCACACAUUUUUAGCCCUCCUUCCUUACCAUCAAAAUUCCUCCUGACAAGGUCACCAAUAGCCUUCUUCUUGCUAAAACCAACGAAUUCUUUUUAGUUUUUAUUUCACUUGAUCAUCCUUGGUAACAUUUAACAAUGCUGACCAUUCCCUCCUCCCUGAAACACUCUCCUCAGCUUCUCUGACAUUAUACUCUUCUGGUUGCAAUCCAAUCACCUCUGGUGAUGCCUUCUCAGUCUUCCCCAAACCUGCUUUUCCUCAGGUUUCUUUUUUUUUUUUUUUUGAGAUGGAGUCUCUCGCUCUGUCGCCCAGGCUGGAAGCAAGACUCCGUCUCAAAAAAAAAAAAAAAAAAAAAGAAAUUGGAGAAUAUCAGAUUCCCUUCCAAGAGAGACAGAGUUGUAGCUUAGUGGGUGAAUUCACCUUUUAUAUUGACAGUCUAGUCUUACGAACCAAUUAAGUUUGUAGUUUCUGCAUUCCUCCUGUGACACCGAAGACUGUGUUUUCAUCAAUGUGAAAACCAUGCUAUCUCAGCUAAAUCAAAAUCCACUCUCAUUCAAGAAUUUAUUCUUCCUUUUAUUUCUCAACACCAGUGACAUGUUCCCAAGUUCUCUGCCUUUAUGGAUCCUUAGUUCCCAGUGUGGAAUGUCUUAUUUCUGAAAGCAACCUGUGAUUGACAAGCCUUCUUGGCUAUUCCGUAGUUUACCCUAAAAAAAAAAAUCCGUUCUCUCUGUCGGCUCUAGACUGCUUUUCCUUACAUGGUACUCUGCUUUUCAUUUCAAGCAUUUAUUAAAACUAAACUAUGUACCAAGCAUACACAAAAUGGAUGUAACCUAACUCACUGAAGGCACUUUCAAAGAAACAGCCUUGGUGUUUAAAUAUUUUGACUAGAAUAUUAUUUCCCUAACAAGCUGCAUAAAACCAUCCCUGUUCAGUUUGUAAUUAUACACCAAAAUAUUGAGCACAAUCUCAGUAGCUACUUCUAUAGCACAUCAUAUAAAGUGAAUUGCUGGAGCCAACUCAUUAGAUCUUACUCCAAAGAUUUUUACCAACACCUUGGCCCUCUUUUGCUGACAAAAAGGAUUCUUAAGCCUUUUAACAGCUUUAUGACUUCCUUAUUAGAGCUCACCCACUAACAUAUACUAUUAACAAAAUGAACUGCCCAUCCUUCUUGGGAAACACUCUGGAGAAUAUUUCCUGAUUUCAUAGCACAGCUUUGUCUCUGGAUUAGUACGAAACUGAGAAUCAAACAUCCCUGGAAUAUUCUGUAAAACAUGAAUAUUAUGUUUCACAAUGUUGUCUUCAAGGAUAUGAACAAUUCAAAAUUUAAGUAUUUGAGUAGUACUGUAUCAUAUUAUUAUUGCUGUGAUAUUUUCAGAAGAAAUCUGAAGUCUGGAGUAAGUCUGGAGUAACUAUGGGCCAUAAAAUAUGGCCAUCUUGCCCCAAUAAAUGGAGCCAAGUUCAAAUCUGGAUCAUCAGAAAAAGACAACAGGCACAUUUCUAAACCAAAUCUGAUUGUCUUGAGGAAGGAAGAUACUGAACCUGUUAGAGUACAUCUCUGAAGGACUGAGAAUCAAGUCCUUCAUUCCCCCGCCCCCCAAAAAAUCCAAUCAAUCAUGCUGAUAAAUGUCUUAGUUACAGGGGAGAAAAAAUAGAGAUGACUAAGCCGAAAAACAUCUCCUUCUGGCUUUGUAUCUUUUCUGGGCAGUGCUGUUCCUGAUAAGACACAUGACACAAAAUAUGGUUUUGCUGAAUAUCAAGGUAAGUUAGGGAAAACGGUAGUUUUUUGAAUAGGAAAAAUUAGAUGACAACAGCAACAGGUAAAGAAGCCUUGGGCUUCUGAGGUAGAAAUACUGGCAUCCCUACGUAGGCAUGGUAGAUAAUCUGAAAAUAGCACAAGUACUGGCCUGUUAUAGCCUGUGUCUACCAUAAACAGAGGGAAAAGUAUUACAAUCUAGCAAAAGUAGCCCUUCAAAAUCUAAGGAGGAGUAUUUCAUCAGAUAUCAAUAAAUGAACCCUUGCUGCAUACAAAGGCAAUACAUUAGGUGCCGAGUGAUCAACUUCAAAGAACCUCCUGCUAUUCUGAAAUUUAAAACUGUACUCUCAUUUCCUCAAGCCUGUAUUUUAUGUAAUGAAACAAAAUGCACAUCAUAUAUCUCUUGCAGCAGUGUGAGAGUAAACAUAGGACCCCUCCCACCAAAAAUUGUGCAGAGCCCUUCCCCUUCAGCCUUUUGCUACAGAAAUAUCCUACUGCUUCCCUAAAAAUAGUAUAUGCUUUAUUUAGCAAGUGGAAUAUCACCCUGUUACUCUCUCCCUUACUCUGCUUCACUUUUUUUUUGCAUAAUGCUUAUGAUUACCUGAUAUUUUACAUAUUUAUCAUGUCUCUCCCAAUUAGAAUAUAAGCUUCAUGAGGGCAGAAAUUUCAAAUAUUUUGUUCACAGAUGUAUUUCCAGUAUCUAGAACUGUAUUUAGCAUGUAGCAGAUUCUCAAAAAUAUUUGUAAAAUUAAUAAAAUUUAAAAAUCCCUAUUAUAUUGGAAUUGUUAAAUUAAAAAAAAAUUUAAGACAGGGUCUCUCUUUGUUGCCCAAGCUGGAGUGCAGCGGCAUGAUCACAGCUCACUGCAGCCUCCAACUCCUGAGCUCAAAUAAUCCUCCCACCUGGCUCCUGAGUAGGUGGGACUACAGGUGAGUGCCACCACACCUGGCUUUUUUUUUUUUUUUUUAGUGAUGAGGGUCUCGCUAUGUUGCCCAGGCUGGUCUCAAAAA
rnacentral:lncRNA from 1 species